UGGAACUCAGAUCUUUAAAUCCCCUGUCAGAA
rnacentral:piRNA from 1 species